rnacentral:rRNA from 1 species
UACGUAGGGUGCGAGCGUUAAUCGGAAUUACUGGGCGUAAAGCGUGCGCAGGCGGUUCUGUAAGUCAGGUGUGAAAUCCCCGGGCUCAACCUGGGAACUGCAUUUGUGACUGUAGAGCUGGAGUGCGGCAGAGGGGGAUGGAAUUCCGCGUGUAGCAGUGAAGUGCGUAGAUAUGCGGAGGAACACCGAUGGCGAAGGCAAUCCCCUGGGCCUGCACUGACGCUCAUGCACGAAAGCGUGGGGAGCAAACAGG